UUCCUACGGGAGGCAGCAGUGAGGAAUAUUGGUCAAUGGGCGGGAGCCUGAACCAGCCAAGCCGCGUGAGGGAAGAAGGUACAGCGUAUCGUAAACCUCUUUUGUCAGGGAACAAAGGCGGGGACUAGUCCCCGGAUGAGGGUACCUGAAGAAAAAGCAUCGGCUAACUCCGUGCCAGCAGCCGCGGUAAUACGUAGGUGACAAGCGUUGUCCGGAUUUACUGGGUGUAAGGGCGCGUAGGCGGGAUAGCAAGUCAGUCGUGAAAUGCCGAGGCUUAACCUCGGAGCUGCGAUUGAAACUGUUAU
rnacentral:rRNA from 1 species